rnacentral:lncRNA from 1 species
CUCCCGUCAAUCUGUGAAAUUGAAAACCAAAUUUGAAAUUCCCAAAUCCAUUUAACCCUAAAUCUUUCCCCUGUGCUCUCGGCGGAGGCGGCUGGUCAGGUACACGAGGGCAUAAAUUUGGUGAUCUCCCGAUGGGCCGCUCUUCGAAUGGCCGUCGAGAAUGAGUGGGGCGGUUGUGAUACUGCCGAGAAAUCGCAACAAAUCGCCCCAAGUUAUCUUUCACACCACAUUCAAUCCAAAGGUAUUUUCUUUAUUCGUAUUCGAAUCGAAUAAGCAUGCACUCAAUUGAUGUGUUUUUAUGUCAUAAUCAGUAUGACCUUGAUUGAUUUUAUCCGUUAAAUUUUGGUAUAAAGAUUGUAUCUCUUUCUCUCCCUGUGCGCGUGCAUGCGUGUGGAUGAGAGAGACAUAUUUACAUAAAUUUUGAGGUAUAAUGAAUAAUGUUUUAUUAGUCUGAUUUGAUGCUCAGGAAAAGUAUGCAUUGAUGAUUUAGAGAAUAUGAUUGAUGAAUUCAUGCUCUCUCAACAUCGAGAUAGGGGAUGGUAGCAUUGAGGAGGUAUGUUUUCUUGGUCUUAUUUGUGAACUUCAAUUAUAUCAUAUAAAUACAAAACAUACAAGCAUAGUUACAUGCUGCAUGCAUAUAUCACCGAAAACCGUGAAAUUUGGAUCGAACUCAAGGAAAUGGCAACAGUUGAAAAUCAAUAGUUAAAAUGCAAAAUGAGAAACAGUUAAAUCCACCUGUAAAAGGUAAAAGAGUGAAGUUCUGAUGAGAUUUAAUGUUCUGAUUGGCAAUAUUUAUUGUGAAACCUUGCUCUCGGGCCAAUCAUUUUGCCUGACCAAUAUAAUUGUCAUCUACUCAAGAACAUUUGAAAUUUUGGCAGGUUUAUAAAAGAUUAAUGAUGGAUGAUCUCGUUGAACUAUACUGCUGUGGCUGGACAACAAGCAUGAUCUACAUGAUAUUAGCAUUAGAGGAUAAUAAUAAUUAUUAUUUUUGCCUGCUAGUUAUUUGUUAGAUAUAUUUCAUGUUCAAUAAAUAUCUAUUAGUUGCUAAGGUUUGAAUUUCCAAAUAUCUACUAAUACUUGUCUUUUUUUCUUUUUGUUUAUGUGGAAACUGUAUUCAGAUCAUAGAAAAGUUGAUGGUUAUGCUUGAAGAAUGUGUAGAAGGUAAAUUUAACUCAGUUAAAAGCCUAAAGGAAACAAAUGCUCCAAAUGUAUCUUAUGUCAUACAGGUAACUAUCACUCUCCAGUGACUGAACUAGUGUUCACUAUUUGGAUAAAUAUUUUUGCCAUUGAUGAAUCAAGUUUGUUGUUUAUUAAAUGACAACCUUGGAAUGUUUUCUAAGAAGAAAUGAUAAAUUUAUGAGUAUAUUUUCAAAUUUUGAUAUAAAUAUUUAUCAUAUAAGUUCGAUUCAUAUCUAGUCAUUAGUCAAAUAUGAUUGGAGACCAGUUAGAUGGUUGUAUAUACAUUUUUAGCCUCUGUUUGGUAGAAAUCAUUUGCUGUCUCUUGAAACCGACCCACAAAUAAGGCCAUACCAAAUUUAUCAACACCACCGCUUACACUCCAUAGAUUAGCCACUAUGUUAGGAGAAUUCGUUCAUAAAUACAAAAUAGGAGCACCUUCCGAGGUGUAAAGCUCAUUCAGUUUUAGUUCACCACUUUCACAUCCCAACAAUAUUGUAGCCGCACAACCAUUAAGUUCUUGAAUUUUUUUUCCUCAAGGUCAAUGCUCAACUCCGAAAUGGCAAGAUAAAAAUGAAAUCGGUUUUAACGAUUAUAUGGAAAUACAAAGUAAAAAAAAGAAAAAAGAAAAAAAAGAAGAAUAUAUACCUGGCUAUGCUUUACUUAAACUAUUUAUUUGUGAAACUUGAUUUCCAAAGUAACUUUUUUGUUAUUGACAAAUCUUGCUUUUGCUUUUCUCUAACUCACAUUCACAAGUGUUAACUUUUUAAGCAUAAUCAAAUUUGUUCCAGCUGUUUACCAUCUACAUGGCCUGAGUAAAAGAGGUCGUGGUUUUUCAAGGUUACAAUUAGCUCAUUGUUUUGGAAAAAUAUUUAUACGCACUAUGCACAGAAAAGUCGAAUAAGAAACUUCAAUCUAAUUUGGCAAAUCUUUGUUUUUCUCAUCAAGCAUGAGAAAUAAAGAACAAGAUUACCUUGCAAUUCUUUUUUUGCAAACAUUUCUCAAGUUUAACCUGUCCACUUCCAAUGCAAUCAUUGUUCGGAUUUAUUACAUAAUAUAGGUUGUGAGGAUUUAUCGAUGAAAACGGUACAAAAUUUGUCGAAAACUGCGCUUGUUCUUGGCAACGCAUGUGAAUUGUUGCAAGAAUGCUUCCAACAAAUGGCAUAUGAUAAAUCUCUUCGUUUUCUAAUAUCGACAGAUUCUCCCUUGGAAAUAACUGCGAAAAAUUAUCAAUAUUGUCUAAAUAACCUUUAGCCCCUGUUUGAGCCCCAUUAUUUUUCAUUACAUUAAAUUAAAUUUUUCUCUUUCCUAUUUUUAACCACACAAAUUUCAAUAAAAUAAUAUUACAGGUAAAUCAAAAAAUUUUCAACCACUCAUUUUUCAAAAAAAAUACUAUUUAUCUCAUUAUAAUGCCAAAUAAUGGGGCUCAAACACACCCUUAAUAAAAGUGUAAGACUAUUUAUGAUCAAUAUGAUACGAAUCAAUCAAAUAAAUUAUCAAUUAUAUCUAUAUAAAUUACUGUAAUGAAAUGAAAAGCAUAACCUAUUCAAUUCAUUUAUUCGAUUUUCAAAUAUAAAAAUUCUAAUUAAUUGGUUAAAUAGAAACUUUAAAAAUUUAUAAAAAUAUAGCAGAAAAUAACAAAGGAAAACACAUGAAAGUAAUAAAUUAAGCGUGUGUACCUGAACUUCGAAAUCUAGGACUAGAAUGAUGGGAUUUCUUUUCAUGCCAUUUAUCUCAUUGUUAUCAUGUGUUUUUUGUUUUGAACACGGAACUUAAUAAGGAUGUAGAUAUUCUUGGCUUUAUGCCAACAUAACAUCGUUUCGUCGAGAUAUUCAGUAAAUAUUUUUCGUUUACGGAUAGAUAUUCUUUCCUAAAUAUAAGGUGUUAAGAAUUUGGUCAUUGCCCCAACAUGACAUGUUUCCAAGCACCAAACCAAAAAGUUUCCGUAUCUCUGAUACAUGAAGACACAUUGACAUAAAACUAAUUGAAUAAAAAUUAUAAACAAUCUAUCAUUUUAAUGCUUGUAAAUUUGCUGCUAUAAAUCAAGGUUCCUAACAUGAUUGAGCAAAUUCAUAGUGAAACUCCAAGGUUCAGGUACACUACAUUGGGGUUUCAAUAUUAAUUUGCUCGAUUAUGUUGGGAACCUUGGUUUAUAGCAGCGAAUUUACUAGCAUUAAAAUGAUGAUUUUUUUAUUCAAUUAAUUUUAUGCCAACGUGUCUUCAUGUAUCAGAGAUACAGAAGUUUUUUGAUUUGGUGCUUAGAAACAUGCCAUGUGGAGGUAGUGGUCAAAUUUUGAACACCUUGUAUUCAGGAAAGAGUACCCAUCCGUAGACGAAAGAUAUUUACUGUAUAUGCUGAUGAAACGAUGUUAUAUUGGCAUAAAGUCGGGAGUAUCUACAUCCUAUUGAGUUUAGUGUUCAAAACACAAAAUAUGUGAUAACGAUGAGAUUGAUUGCAUGAAGAGUAGUCCCAUUAUUCUAGUCCUAGAUUUUGAGGUUCAGGUACAUGCUCUUAAUUUAUUACUUUCAUGUAUUUUCUUUUGUUAUUUUCUGCUAUGUUUUUAUAAGCUUUUAGAGUUUCUAUAAUUAAUUGGAAUUUUUAUAUUUGAAAAUUAGAGAAAUGAAUCUAACAAGUGAUGCUUUUCCUUUUAUUAUAGUAAUUUAUAUAAAUAUAAUUGAUAAUUUCUUUGAUUAAUUCGUAUCGUGUUGAUUAUAAAUAUUCUUAUGCUUUUAUUAAAGAUUAUUUAAGUAAGAUUGAUAAUUUUUUGCAACUAUUUUCAUGGGAGAAUCUGUUGACGUUGAAAAACACAAAGAUUUAUUGUAUGCUAUCUAUUAGAAGCAUUCUUACAACAAUUCACACGCAUUGCCAAGGCCAAGCGUAGUGUUCGACAAAUUUUGUACCCUUUCCAUCGAUAAAUCCUCACAACCUAUAUUAUGUAAUAAAUCCGAAUAAUGAUUUCAUUGGAAGUGGACAUGUUAAAUUUGAGAGAUGGUUGCAAGGUAAUCUUAAUUCUUAAUUUCUCAUACUUGAUGAGAAAAACAAAGAUAUGCGAAAUUGGAUUGAGGUUUCUUUGACUUUUUUGUGUAGAGAGCUAUAAUAUUUCCCUCUCCAAAUAGAGUUGAUUGUAGUCUUGAAAAGCCACAACCUCUAUUUUUACUCGGGCCAUGGAGAUGGUAAGCAACUAGCUUAUGUGUUUAAUUUUGCUUAAAAGUUAAUACUUGUAAAUGUGACUUAGAGAAAAUCAAGAUUUGUUAGUAUAAAACGUUUGAAAAUCAAGUUUUACAAAUAAGUAACUUAAGUAAAGCAUAGCCAAACAUGUAUUCUAUUUAUUUUUUAUUUUAUUAUUUUGUAAUUUUAGAGAAUCGUUAAACUCGAUUUCAUUUUUUACCUUGCCAUUUCAGGGUUGAACAUUGAUCUUGAGUAAAAGAUUCAAGAACUCAAUGGUUGUGUUGCUGCAGUAGUACUAUUGGGGAUGGAAAAGUGGUAAAAUAAAACUAAAUAGGCUUUACGCCAUGGAAGAUGUUCCUUUUCUGUAUUUAUCGGCGAGUUCUCCUAACAUGGUGGCUAAUCUAUGGAGUGUAAGCAAUGAUGUUGAUAAAUUUGGUAUGCCUUAUGUGCGAGUUGGUUUUAAGGGAUAGCAAAUGAUUCUACCAAAUAGGGGUUAAAGAUGUAUAUACAACUAUCUAAUUGGUCUCCAAUCAUAUUUGACUAAUGACUAGAUAUGGAUCAAACUUGUAUGAUCAAUAUUUACAUUACAAUUCGAAA